CGUAGGUGAACCUGCGGAAGGAUCAUUACCGAGUGAGGGCCCUCUGGGUCCAACCUCCCACCCGUGUUUAUUUUACCUUGUUGCUUCGGCGGGCCCGCCUUAACUGGCCGCCGGGGGGCUCACGCCCCCGGGCCCGCGCCCGCCGAAGACACCCUCGAACUCUGUCUGAAGAUUGUAGUCUGAGUGAAAAUAUAAAUUAUUUAAAACUUUCAACAACGGAUCUCUUGGUUCCGGCAUCGAUGAAGAACGCAGCGAAAUGCGAUACGUAAUGUGAAUUGCAAAUUCAGUGAAUCAUCGAGUCUUUGAACGCACAUUGCGCCCCCUGGUAUUCCGGGGGGCAUGCCUGUCCGAGCGUCAUUGCUGCCCUCAAGCACGGCUUGUGUGUUGGGCCCCGUCCUCCGAUCCCGGGGGACGGGCCCGAAAGGCAGCGGCGGCACCGCGUCCGGUCCUCGAGCGUAUGGGGCUUUGUCACCCGCUCUGUAGGCCCGGCCGGCGCUUGCCGAUCAACCCAAAUUUUUAUCCAGGUUGACCUCGGAUCAGGUAGGGAUACCCGCUGAACUUAAGCAUAUCAAUAA
rnacentral:sRNA from 1 species